ensembl:lncRNA
UUUUUUUUUUUAGAAAAGAACAGAGGAAUUUGACAAAUGAUGGCAAUUGAGACUUCAUGAUUUAAGAACAGCAUCUCAAGCAGUUGCUCUGAAGUGGUUCUCCAUGUGAAAUGAGGAUGCCGCAUGCUUAUCAGUGGUGAUACAGGUAUAUGGCUACAGAUGCCUUGCCCCUCAAAAGCUUCGUGUUUGCCAGAGUCAGGGAUGAAGAACACCAGGUAUUUCCAGGGAUACUGGAGUGGCACAUGUUCCAGAAAGUUUGAAGUAAAGUGUCUGCUUUCACUGCUCAGGUUCAAGCCCAUUAAAGGAUUUGAGGAAAUCCAUUCAGUACUUUGCACAGAGAACAAAUGUGAACCGUUCCAAUGAGUUGCAGAACAGUGAGGAAGAAGAGCCUGCAGAGGUAACUAAGAGUUAACUGGCUACAUUUCAGCUGUCACCAUUGUCUUACAUCUACAGAGAGAGUGGGGAGAGCCAAGGAGAUUUAUGUCCCAUUACUACUGUUACUAUAUUUAUUUUGUCCAAAGUGCAACCAUCUCAGCAUCUGUCGUUGUAUCUGGUAGAAAUACACAGGCAAGGAGAGCUCACAGUAGUAAAUUAUGGUUCAUCCAUCCAACCACUUAAUUCCUAUGAUUGCUGGUUUUCACAAAAAAAAAAAUAAAAUAAGACUGAAAUUCAGGGCAGUUGGCCACACCACACCGCCUCUGAGUGCAGCAGUGGCAUCGGAGCAGGGCACGAAUGCUGAGGCCACCUGGAGCAGAGGCUGUGUGCCAGCACUUCAUGGCUGCUUCUGUGGCUUUGGAUUUUUCUGAUGUUUACAUGACUCCCCACGGCACAAGAGAAGUUAAGCACCUGGUAAGCACCUCGGCUCUUCCAUCCUACAGCGGUUGGAGGAUGCAGGGAUCUUGGGCAUGCUCAGCCAGGAGUGAAGUCCUGCUGCCCUCCAGUCCCGUAGCCAGAAGGUUGGAAGGGGCCUUUAAAGAUUAUCUAGUUGAGAAUGAUGUGGCAACGCUCAUCAAUCUGAACCACUUGGGUCAGUCCUCAGAGAAACUCCAAGCGCUGCUUUUCCCCCCUCUGAGUUCCAGCUGUUGCUGCUGCCUUUGCUGUCUCCCAGCUCAAAAAUCCCUCCAAACUGCUGAAGUGCAACUCACUUUGUGCAAACAGAGCACAAAAGUGGAGCCUGGACCUGACCCUCAGGUAUCUGUGAAAGCCCAAAUUCUGAUUUCUCCAAGAAGGAUCAGGGACUGAGCUGAGAGAGGAGAGAUUUCAGUUCAAGCAACCUGGGGUCUGUGGCAGCAUCAUCACUGUUUCCCUGGGCUGGUUUCCCCUGCUGAGCUGUGCAUCACUACACAGCCUGGAUGAUGUCAGUGCUGCCCAAGCAAGCUUCAGUUUGGCUGCUGGAUAAAGGGGAGAGUUGUCAUCACCACACAGACGGAAAACCAAAGAAAGCCUGUGUCUUCAAGCUAAAAAGCCAGCUAAAAUGAAGGCAUAAGCAUCUCCUUUUGAUGAACUGUGGAGACAACAGCACACAGGCUUCUUGGUGUUGUCUGUCCAUCGGCAGCACUGCUUCAUGAGGCAGUUCCCCAUCCCCAGAUCUGUGUCAGACACCUCAGCCUGCCACUCAUCUGUGCAGUUUUGGUUCAUGGACUUUUGCCAUUCUCCUGCACUUCCAUGAGCAAUGCCACUGUCUCGCACCUGCACCUCAGGUCAGUUGUUUAAAGACAGCUGCUGUUUGAUGGCACAUGCUAAAUGAAUUACUGUCCUCAGUUAUUGCCUACGAGUCUGGAGAACGAGACCUUUGCUGGCCCCACACAGGAGGCCAAGGGCUAGCAGAAGCACAGGCAAAGGAAAAGUCCCACUGGGUCAAGGGAAGGGGCAUGGCAGACUAAUGAACUCCAUUACCACAAGGAGAACUUUGUUCAACUUCUCAUGCCAGAAAGGACUGCCCGGACUGGCAAGUAAAUCUCCCUGAAGAUAGAAGAAAUAGAGGUUAGAGCACCAUAUUUAUCUCAAGCUACUUAGCAAAUAGUGUGAUUCUGCAAAACAGAAUUG